rnacentral:rRNA from 1 species
GUAAGUCGAGGGGUAACAGGAGUGCUUGCACUCGCUGACGACCGGCGCACGGGUGCGUAACGCGUAUAGAACCUACCUUUUACAGAGGGAUAGCCUUUAGAAAUGAAGAUUAAUACCUCAUAGUACUAAGAUUUGGCAUCAUAACUUAGUUUAAGAUUUAUCGGUAAAAGAUGGCUAUGCGUCCUAUUAGCUAGAUGGUAAGGUAACGGCUUACCAUGGCAACGAUAGGUAGGGGUCCUGAGAGGGAGAUC